AUUGAACGCUGGCGGCAGGCCUAACACAUGCAAGUCGAACGAGUGGCGGACGGGUGAGUAAUGUCUGGGAAACUGCCUGAUGGAGGGGGAUAACUACUGGAAACGGUAGCUAAUACCGCAUACCAUCAGAUGUGCCCAGAUGGGAUUAGCUUGUUGGUGGGGUAACUGCUCACCAAGGCGACGAUCCCUAGCUGGUCUGGGAGGAUGACCAGCAACCCUGGAACGUAGACACGGUCCCGACUCCUACGGCAGGCAGCAGUGGGGAUUAUUGCACAAUGGGCGCAAGCCUGAUGCAGCCAGUCCGCGUGUAUGAAGAAGGCCUUCGGGUUAUAAAGUACUUUCAGCGGGGAGUCGUUACCCGCAGAAGAAGCACCGGCUAACUCCGUGCCAGCAGCCGCGGUAAUUC
rnacentral:rRNA from 1 species